CCUACGGGUGGCAGCAGUGAGGCAUAUUGGUCAAUGGACGAGAGUCUGAACCAGCCACGUAGCGUGAAGGAUGACUUCCCUAUGUGUUGUCAACUUCUUUUAUAUGGGACUAAAAUGUUCCACGUGUGGUAUUUUUUAUGUACCAUAUGAAUAAGGAUCGGCUAACUCCGUACCAGCAUCCGCGGUAAUACGGAGGAUCCGUGCGUUAUCCGGAUUUAUUGGGUUUAACGGGAGCGUAGGUGGAUUGUUAAGUCAGUUGGGAAAGUUUGCGGCUCAAACGUAAAAUUGCAGUGGAAACUGGCAGUCUUGAGUACAGUAGAGGUGGGCGGAAUUCGUGGUGUAGCGGUGAAAUGCUUAGAUAUCACGAAGAA
rnacentral:rRNA from 1 species